rnacentral:rRNA from 1 species
AGCAGCAGCCGCGGGAAUACGUAGGGCGCGAGCGUUAAUCGGAAUUACUGGGCGUAAAGCGUGCGCAGGCGGUUCGUUAAGACAGAUGUGAAAUCCCCGGGCUUAACCUGGGAACUGCAUUUGUGACUGGCGAGCUAGAGUAUGGCAGAGGGGGGUAGAAUUCCACGUGUAGCAGUGAAAUGCGUAGAGAUGUGGAGGAAUACCGAUGGCGAAGGCAGCCCCCUGGGCCAAUACUGACGCUCAUGCACGAAAGCGUGGGGAGCAAACAGGAUUAGAUACCCCUGUAGUCCCUGUCUCUUAUAC